GAGUUGUAAUGGCGGGACAAGGAUUUCAAGGUGCACUGAGGGUCAUGCUCCUUGUGUGUCUCCUUGGACUAACAAAAGAGUUUGGUAAGAAGUGCUGUUUUCACAAUACAAGUUUAAAAGUGGGUGUCAUUUAGUGUAGUUUUUGUAUUCCAUAUUUUUAAAGAAUGUGAAAAAUAAAAAUAUUAACUUAUUUCCGUAGAACUUGAGGACAAAGACUGGGACGAGUUGAGGUCUGAUGUGGCUGCGCUGCACAGAUUGAAAGGAUUACCUGAUCAAAUGACACGUAGGACCACAGGAGCAGACACCAGAGAGAUAACAAUGCACGGGACCAGGACAAAGAGAUUCAGCAAUUACAGGGCAUAUGUGGAGAAAAGGCCCAUGGCUUUAUUUGAUGGUCUUAGGGGAUGUGACAAUUUUACAACAUGUGUCAUUCAAAUGGACCAGGAUCUUGAAAGGUUUCUGGAAGAAAUUGAUGGACAAAAGAUCCAAGAUUUGCUGCUGUCUGCUUCUGAAAUGUCUUACACCUACAGCAACAAACUUCUCCUUAUAAUGGACAAGGAAGAGUGGACUCGUCAGCGAGUAGAAGAGGAGUACAGCAUAGAUCCUCAUUAUUCAGUAAUGGUCAGUGAUGCUUGUGUAUACAAUGAUUCAUGUCUCCCAACCAUUAACAGUGGCACAGUGGUGAAGAUAUUUGGUACUGCCUCAGAGGAUGGACAUACUCUGUCCGGUUACUCUGGUUCUUCACUAGCAAAUCUAAUGUUGAAACGAUCAUUGAGGGCAGCAUCCGUUUUCUCCCUUGACAUCAAUACCACUUCUUCAUUUCAUAAUGACUUCAUGAGGGUUUUUAAGUAUCAUGACAAUAAUGCUGUCUUGGAAACUACCAGCCCGGGAGAUCUUCUCAUCUUUCAAAUCAUGGAUCACACUGACACUGCAGCUGAGUACCAUGCUCCAAAGAGACCCAUUGAUCACACCACACAGUAUGAUAAACAGCACAUCCUAAUACUGGAAGAUAACCCCGUUGUUCGGGAAGCUGCUAAAUUUCUAUAUGAGAAACAUC
rnacentral:lncRNA from 13 species